rnacentral:lncRNA from 1 species
UGAGUAAUACCUUGAACGUGGGAUUCUUUGAGAUUUCAUUCAAUCUAUUAGUAAUUUGUACUAGAAUAGUCAAUCUUAAGUUAAGAUAUAUAUGUAUUUACUGAGUAAUACCUUGAACGUGGGAUUCUUUGAGAUUUCAUUCAGUCUAUUAGUAAUUUGUAUAUCUUGUUUGAAUAGAUAACUAAACUUUUUAGUUUUAUAAAUAGAAAUCUAAAAAAAAAAUUGUAUUAUUAUACCAAAUCCUUAUGUUGUCCUUUAUUCUAUUGUCCUAAAUUUUGCAAUAAAAAAAGUUUUCGCGGG